UACGGGAGGCAGCAGUGAGGAAUAUUGGUCAAUGGGCGAGAGCCUGAACCAGCCAAGUCGCGUGAAGGAAGAAGGUUCUAUGGAUUGUAAACUUCUUUUGUAAGGGAAUAAAAAGAGUUACGUGUAACUUAUUGUAUGUACUUACGAAUAAGAUCGUCCCCC
rnacentral:rRNA from 1 species